AGUGAACGCUGGCGGUAGGCCUAACACAUGCAAGUCGAACGGCAGCACAGUAAGAGCUUGCUCUUACGGGUGGCGAGUGGCGGACGGGUGAGGAAUACAUCGGAAUCUACUUUUUCGUGGGGGAUAACGUAGGGAAACUUACGCUACUACCGCAUACGACCUACGGGUGAAAGCAGGGGAUCUUCGGACCUUGCGCGAUUGAAUGAGCCGAUGUCGGAUUAGCUAGUUGGCGGGGUAAAGGCCCACCAAGGCGACGAUCCGUAGCUGGUCUGAGAGGAUGAUCGGCCACACUGGAACUGAGACACGGUCCAGACUCCUACGGGAGGCAGCAGUGGGGAAUAUUGGGCAAUGGGCGCAAGCCUGAUCCAGCCAUACCGCGUGGGUGAAGAAGGCCUUCGGGUUGUAAAGCCCUUUUGUUGGGAAAGAAAAGCAGCAGGUUAAUACCCCGCUGUUCUGACGGUACCCAAAGAAUAAGCACCGGCUAACUUCGUG
rnacentral:rRNA from 1 species